rnacentral:rRNA from 1 species
GACAGAGGAUGCAAGCGUUAUCCGGAAUGAUUGGGCGUAAAGCGUCUGUGAGGUGGCUUUUUAAGUCCGCCGUCAAAUCCCGAGGGCUUCAACCCUCGGACAGGCGGUGGGAAACUACCAAGCUGGGAGUACGGGUAAGGGGCAGAGGGAAUUUCCGGUGGAGCGGGUGAAAGUGCUGUGAGAGAUACGGAAAGAACACCAA